rnacentral:rRNA from 1 species
UACGUAGGGUGCAAGCGUUGUCCGGAAUUAUUGGGCGUAAAGAGCUCGUAGGCGGUUUGUCGCGUCGGCUGUGAAAUCCCGAGGCUCAACCUCGGGCCUGCAGUCGAUACGGGCAGACUUGAGUGUUGCAGGGGAGACUGGAAUUCCUGGUGUAGCGGUGAAAUGCGCAGAUAUCAGGAGGAACACCGGUGGCGAAGGCGGGUCUCUGGGCAACAACUGACGCUGAGGAGCGAAAGCGUGGGGAGCGAACAGG